ensembl:lncRNA
AGAGAAGAGAGCCACAUGAAAACGGAGGCAGAGAUGUGCAUGGUGCAUCUGCAAGCCAAGGAAUGCCAAAGAUCACAGGCAAAUACCAGAAGCUGGAAGAGCCAAGACAGGACUCUUCCCCCACAGGUUUGAGAGGGAGCGUGGCCCUGCUGAUGCCUUGAUUUCAGACUUCCAGCCUCCAGAACUGAGAGACAAUAAAUUUCUGUUGUAAGCCACCCACUUUGUGGUACUUUGUCACCACAGCCCUAGGAAACUAUCACACAAGGUUCCAUUUUCCCUCUAUUUUCCCAGCCCCUGUUAGAGCGUCCAGGCACCUUGUCAGAGCAGGUUCCCCAGCAUUACAUUUGUCUUCGCUCACUAGGCUAGAAGCAGGAGUGGUGUUUAUUUAUCUGCAACUCAGUGGAUAGUAGUUGCUCAGUAAAUGCAUGUUUGAAUGAGUGAAUGAAUCUCAAAGAGCCUCUGGGAUUCACCUUGGCUGCUGGUCCACCUCCAGCCUCCAGCCCUCGAAUAUUGAACUACUUUCCGAUUUAGUAAGUAUACAAAGGUGCCAGAUCGGAGAAACCCGGGCAGCAGCAAAUGGACCUGGAGGAUAUUGUGGGACCUGAAACGUUGAGUUGACCACAAAACCUUGACCUCAGAUCUGCCCUUUACCUCUGAGCAGCCUUGAGCUACACACUUGGCCUUUGGGUCUCUUUAAAGAAAACCAUCAUGACUUGGACAUUGGAAUCAUCCAGUCAACCUCAAUAGUUGCACAGAGGAUCAGACGAGGACUUGAACUUGCCUAUACCUCUCUGGAAAGCCGACAGCCCCUUGUACCAGCCCAUGUGGCCACGCCACACCACGCAUCCCUGGGGACAAACCCAAGGCGAGGAAAGUAGUGGCUUUUUCUUUUUCUUUGCUUUCAAAAGAUUUUCUUGAAAUAGCGACUUUGGAAGAUAAUAUGGGAACAAUGUCUGCACAACACAUAAUUAUUCAGCUUUGCAAAUAUUUUAGAAGUCAGCUAGGGGCCGGCCUGGUGGCACAGCGGCUAAGUUUGCACAUUCUGCUUCGGCGGCCCAGGGUUCACCAGUUCGGAUCCUGGGUACAGACCUAUGCACCAUUUGUCAAGCCAUGCUGUGGUAGGCGUCCCAUAAAAAGUAGAGGAAGAGGGGCAUGGACGUUAGCUCAGGGCCAGUCUUCCUCAGCGAAAAAGAGGAGGAUUGGUGGCAGAUGUUAGCUCAGGGCUAAUCGUCCUCAAAAAGAAGAAAAUAGUAAUCUAGGAGACAAAGCAUAGGCAUUGACAUCAACUAUCUCCAUGUUCUAACUCGAGGAGAAAACACAACGGGGAAGAGGAAGGUGGGAGGAAAUAGGGGUUCUCCUCUUUCUAAAUAGUGCAUUCAGAGUUUGAAAAUGCAGGAUGAACUAGACUGCAUCCCUUUCCAGCCUCCUUCCUUCUGUCACCAGCCUCGCAAGUUCUCCAAGGAGCCUUCUAUGCCCGCUUGCUCCUCCCCCCUCCCACCCAGCCUCCUCUCACCUUUGACCUCUCACCACCACCAGAGGCGGGGAGCGCGGUGGGAGAAGCAGUUUUUAUCUGUUACACAGGGACUGACCUACAGCUCUAAGAGCUGGAAUAAAACGAAAGCCCUCACCCUAGGAAGGAAUUCAGUCUCCUCCAUCGGCCCCCUUCUCCCAGCUCCCGGCUCCCCAUCCCCCACUGAGUGGGUUCCAAUCCCUGGGCCUUCUUGCUGGGAGCUCCAAGCUUCAGACCUGCUGUGGCCUCCACCUGGAACAUUCUUCCUCCAAAUCGUCCCUGGGCUCCCUUCCUCCUGUCAUGAAGCUCUCUGCUCAAACAGCACUUCUUCCCACCAUGGGACACAGAUACCUUGAGGACAGGGACUUCAGGGAUUUGUUCCCGGCAUGUGAAAGGUCCAGUCCAUGGGCUAAAUAGAGAGGUGACAUCAAACAGUUGGGCAGACAGCUGUCGGAAGCCACCUCUGUGCACUCUGGGAAAGCAGUUGGUCCUCCUCCAGUAACACUCAGGAGCGAGCUCGCCCUGAAAGGUCAUUGGCUACAAAAUAGUAAGCUUGCUCUGAGGCGCCUGAGCCGAGACAGUUGCUUGGCGUCCCGCUAAUGCUGGUUUUACUCAAGAGCUGAUUGUUUUUUGAGGUAACCAUGGAUUAUUAUGACGACCAACGUUUGCUAUUUGUUGAGUGUCCAUGGUGUAAACAGAAAGGGGAACGUGUCCGUCUUCAGGAAGAAGCUAGCAAACACACUGCAUGUGGGCUGGGAAGGGGAUACGGAUGGUCCCACAACAGCCCUUGGCGGCCUCGCAUGUCACACAAACCCACUCCUCAUUCCUCACAUGGGUCAGGGAGGCGCUGGGACCUUCAAGGGCAGAGAGCGGGCCACGCGGGCUUAAAUCACUGCCAAGAUGGAAAACUCCCUUACAGUAAACGCAUGUAACUACAGACAAUGAACAUUCCAAAAAACGAUGCUCCUUCCAAAAGACUCCAAAAAAUCACUCCAGCCAGACUCUUCAUAGCACCAUGGAGUUUCCCGAAAAGCAGAAGGAACUCUAAUUAGUCUUCUCAUCCAGUCUCUCUGUCCUCUGCACGACAUUCCUGUCAGACAAAUUUUAGCACCUGCUGGAACCGUCCCAAGGGCUGGGAUCCCUCAAUUCUGAGAGGCAGGUUUAUGAGCAAUGCCCUGCUUUGGUUCUGUCACUGUUCAAUAGGAAAUCUUAGAGCGGUAAGGACACAGACUAGAGCAAGAAAGAGAAGUAAGAAAGAAUCAAAUUCAGCAGGGUCUUGUAACUUAAACAAUACCAUAAACAAAGUAAAAAAUAAUAAUAAACUGGUAAAAAAAAUUUGCAAUACAUAGAAGAAUGAGGAUAAUUUCCCUAAUACACAAAAGCAUAUAUAUACAGCAAUUUGAAAAAAAUCCAAUUAAUAUAAAUAAGAAAAGGCUAUGAAUAGGCAGUUCAAAGGAAAAAAUAAUCAACAGAUAAAUGAAGAGUUUGUAUCUCAUACAUAAAGAAAUGCAAAUUCAAACAAUAAAAUGCUGUUUUU